rnacentral:tRNA from 1 species
AGAAAGAUGCCUGAUUAAAGGAAUAUUCUGAUAGAAUACCUCAUGAAAAUUAAAUUUCUCUUUCUA